AGCCAGACUCCUACGGGAGGCAGCAGUGGGGAAUAUUGCACAAUGGGGGAAACCCUGAUGCAGCGACGCCGCGUGAGCGAUGAAGUAUUUCGGUAUGUAAAGCUCUAUCAGCAGGGAAGAAGAUGACGGUACCUGACUAAGAAGCCCUGGCUAACUACGUGCCAGCAGCCGCGGUAAUACGUAGGGGGCAAGCGUUAUCCGGAUUUACUGGGUGUAAAGGGAGCGUAGACGGCGAUGCAAGCCAGAUGUGAAAGCCCGGGGCUCAACCCCGGGACUGCAUUUGGAACUGUGUGGCUGGAGUGUCGGAGAGGCAGGCGGAAUUCCUAGUGUAGCGGUGAAAUGCGUAGAUAUUAGGAGGAACACCAGUGGCGAAGGCGGCCUGCUGGACGAUGACUGACGUUGAGGCUCGAAAGCGUGGGGAGCAAACAGGAUUAGAUACCCUUGUAU
rnacentral:rRNA from 1 species